AAAAGGAGGCCUGGGGCAGCCCAGUCCCACUGUGGGGUAAGAGGUUGUGUCCACCAUGGCCUGGACUCCUCUCCUCCUCCUGCUCCUCUCUCACUGCACAGGUUCCCUCUCGCAGCCUGUGCUGACUCAGCCAACUUCCCUCUCAGCAUCUCCUGGAGCAUCAGCCAGACUCACCUGCACCUUGCGCAGUGGCAUCAAUCUUGGUACCUACAGGAUAUACUGGUACCAGCAGAAGCCAGGGAGUCCUCCCCGGUAUCUCCUGAACUACUACUCAGACUCAGAUAAGCACCAGGGCUCUGGAGUCCCCAGCCGCUUCUCUGGAUCCAAAGAUGCUUCGACCAAUGCAGGGAUUUUAGUCAUCUCUGGGCUCCAGUCUGAGGAUGAGGCUGACUAUUACUGUAUGAUUUGGCACAGCAGUGCUUCUCACAGUGACACACACAGAUGGGGAAGUGGGACAAAAACUUCACCCUGAUCUGGGUCUUGUUCUGUAACAGUUUUUAAAUUUUAAAAUAACCAGCCAAGGGACAAACUAAAUUUGGCAAUAACUUUCUAGUUGUAAAAGGCUCUUCUCUCAAUU